rnacentral:rRNA from 1 species
GGCCAGACUCCUACGGGAGGCAGCAGUGGGGGAUAUUGCACAAUGGGGGGAACCCUGAUGCAGCGACGCCGCGUGAGUGAAGAAGUAUUUCGGUAUGUAAAGCUCUAUCAGCAGGGAAGAAAAUGACGGUACCUGACUAAGAAGCCCCGGCUAACUACGUGCCAGCAGCCGCGGUAAUACGUAGGGGGCAAGCGUUAUCCGGAUUUACUGGGUGUAAAGGGAGCGUAGACGGCAAUGCAAGCCAGAUGUGAAAGCCCGGGGCUCAACCCCGGGACUGCAUUUGGAACUGUGUAGCUGGAGUGUCGGAGAGGCAGGCGGAAUUCCUAGUGUAGCGGUGAAAUGCGUAGAUAUUAGGAGGAACACCAGUGGCGAAGGCGGCUUGCUGGACAGUAACUGACGUUGAGGCUCGAAAGCGUGGGGAGCAAACAGGAUUAGAUACCCCUGUA